AUUUUACCGACCCGUCUUGAAACACGGACCAAGGAGUCUAACACAUAUGCAAGUAGUAAGGUGGCAAACCUUGGAUGCGCAAUGAAAGUAAACGUAGGUGGGAUUCGCAAGAUGCACCAUCGACCGACCAGGAUCAUCAGUGAAAGGUUUGAGUAAGAGCAUAUUUGUUGGGACCCGAAAGAUGGUGAACUAUGUCUGAUUAGGGUGAAGUCAGGGGAA
rnacentral:rRNA from 1 species